AGUGGUGUCGAGAACUAUAUGCUGCAUGUGCGUAUACUUGCCGUAAGGACUUUGCAUUUCAACGAAGGACAGCCUAAAGCAGAGUGAAGAGCCUUUAUUAUUGCCUUUCAUCUAACAAAUUGGCGUCAGGAUCACCGAUGACUGAUGCCUGACAGUGCAUCAUCACUUUAAUGGUGGCCAUCGAGUGGCAUCCAGUAAAAAUAUUUCAAGCCAUUAACACAUCAUCAAACAACUAAACACAAGUCUGAGAAAAGUGACUGCUGCAAUCAUAAAGGUCACCCCAAUCUACAUUCUGUAUGGCUUCCCUAGAGCAAAACAAAUUUGAUGGACAUGCUGAUCGAAAGGUUGAAACAUGCCCUACAUAAAAUUUAAAAUUCAGGAAGCUCCCAUGAAAGUUAUUAUCUGAGCAUAAUAUAUACAGCUUCGAGGGAUUGAACGAAGCCAGAUAUAACAUGAAAGGUGAUUCGGCCAUAACCCCUUGAGGAUGAUACAGCAGACGUUGACAAACCUUGAAGUUGUCCUGAACAAGAGGUCAAAAUAUACCAAAAACCUCGUCUAUACUGGAAUGUUGGAUGGAAUAUAACGGUACUCGGCUGGCAUGAAGGCCAUAAAUCAAAACCAGUUUCCUACAGCGUUUUUACACAAAACCACUUUCAGACUUAAAAUGGGCACACCACUUGAAUCGUGAACAGGCUGUCUACCUACUCCUGUAAAGCUGCCAUCUGGCGACCAGGUAGUAAAGUGCAAAAGAAAUUUGAAGAGAACGAGACAAAUCAAUACUUAAAAAAAUAAAAAAAUAAUAAUAAUAAAAAAAAAAUACAGAAUACAAAGUACCUCAGUUGAUGUCAAGAUUAUUUGAGAGUAUUUUUUAUGGCGGAAGGGAAGAUGCACAUGGGCGAAUCUUACAUAAGAGUGAUAGGUACUACGACAUUCACGAGGCCAACCAACGAAAAUCUACGUAAGUCAAUAAUCCCGUUAGAAAUUCCUGAGCGUGAGUCAAAGUUUUCAUCCAAUUUGUCCGUCCUCAAAUCUCUUGACAUGUUCAUAGCGUGGAAUUUUUAUCACAUCUUCUACAGGAAUUAGAGCGAAAUGGAUUUCAUAUGUAUUGAAUGGAGAUAGUGGGUCCGUUAUAUGCAAUAAAAAAAUUGUAUACAAACAUCAUUCUGUACAAUAUAAACUGUCAAACAUAAGGGGGAUAAAAAGGACAUCCGGGAAAACAAAACAAAAAAAUCUGUCAAAGGAAAAUGUCUGAUUUCUUUUCUGUUUAUCAUUUGGGUUGAUUUUUUGUUGUUAUUGCAUAAACGAAUAAAGAGAAGGAAAAAAAAAAGCUAGAGGCGUUGAACGGAAGUAUGAAAUUGUUUUAA